GAUGAACGCCAGCGGCAGGCCUAAUACAUGCAAGUCGAGGGAGAAUGUUGGAUUCGUCUGACAUGAAACCGGCGCACGGGUGCGUAACACGUAUGCAACCUACCUUUAACUGGGGUAUAGCUCAGAGAAAUCUGAAUUAAUCCCCCAUAAGACUACGACAUGGCAUCAUGAUGUAGUUAAAGCUCCGGCGGUUAAGGAUGGGCAUGCGGUACAUUAGCUAGUUGGUGAGGUAAUGGCUCACCAAGGCUACGAUGUAUAGGGGGUCUGAGAGGAUGAUCCCCCACACGGGUACUGAGACACGGACCAGACUCCUACGGGAGGCAGCAGUAGGGAAUAUUGGUCAAUGGACGCAAGUCUGAACCAGCCAUGCCGCGUGAAGAAUGAAGGCCCUAUGGGUCGUAAACUUCUUUUAUUAGGGAAGAAAAAACGGGAUGCGUCCUGUACUGACGGUACUUAAUGAAUAAGGAUCGGCUAACUUCGUGCCAGCCGCCGCAGUAA
rnacentral:rRNA from 1 species